rnacentral:rRNA from 1 species
CCUACGGGAGGCAGCAGUGAGGAAUAUUGGUCAAUGGGCUUACGCCUGAACCAGCCAAGUCGCGUGAGGGAAGACUGCCCUAUGGGUUGUAAACCUCUUUUGUCAGGGAGCAAUUGGCGCUACGUGUAGCGUUAUCGAGAGUACCUGAAGAAAAAGCAUCGGCUAACUCCGUGCCAGCAGCCGCGGUAAUACGGAGGAUGCGAGCGUUAUCCGGAUUUAUUGGGUUUAAAGGGUGCGUAGGCGGAAUGCCAAGUCAGCGGUAAAAUCGCGGGGCUCAACCUCGCUCCGCCGUUGAAACUGGCGCUCUUGAGUGGAAGAGAAGUAUGCGGAAUGCGUGGUGUAGCGGUGAAAUGCAUAGAUAUCACGCAGAACCCCGAUUGCGAAGGCAGCAUGCCGGCUUCCGACUGACGCUGAAGCACGAAAGCGUGGGGAUCGAACAGGAUUAGAUACCCGGGUAGUC